CGCACGAGGGUUCAAGCAUGUCUGACGUAAAAACAUGAAUGAAAUCCAUAUAGUUUUUGAAAAAAAUAAAAAGGACCUAUACUUUACGGACAGCCCUCGUAUGCUGUGUAUGUGGGUGUGUUCAGCAAAUUAUCUGCAGGAGAAUUCAAUGUUUGGUUGAAUGUAAAGAUGUAUCAUAAUUAGCAACUCGUAUUAUUUUCAUGCAGCUAUUGUUUUUUCUUUGUUUUUCUGUGUUUGGAUG